rnacentral:rRNA from 1 species
UACAGAGGUCCCAAGCGUUGUUCGGAUUCACUGGGCGUAAAGGGCGCGUAGGCGGCUUGGUAAGCGUGCGGUGAAAGCUCGGGGCUCAACCCCGAGUCUGCCGUGCGAACUGCCGGGCUUGAGCACAGUAGAGGCAGAUGGAAUUCCGGGUGUAGCGGUGGAAUGCGUAGAGAUCCGGAAGAACACCGGUGGCGAAGGCGGUCUGCUGGGCUGUGUCUGACGCUGAUGCGCGACAGCGUGGGGAGCAAACAGG